AUUUUAUCACCUGGAGAUCUUUUUGAAAUUCAGAUUCUGAUUUUCUAGGUCUAGGGUGGGGAUGCUGAUUUCUAUGUUUCUAGUAAGUUCCAAAGUGAUGUCAAU
rnacentral:pre_miRNA from 1 species